CGGCGAGUGAAGCGGCAACAGCUCAAAUUUGAAAGCUGGCCUUCGGGUCCGCAUUGUAAUUUGUAGAGGAUGCUUUGGGUGAAACGCCAGUCUAAGUUCCUUGGAACAGGACGUCAUAGAGGGUGAGAAUCCCGUAUGUGACUGGAAAUGUUAACCUAUGUAAAGCUCCUUCGACGAGUCGAGUUGUUUGGGAAUGCAGCUCUAAAUGGGAGGUAAAUUUCUUCUAAAGCUAAAUAUUGGCGAGAGACCGAUAGCGCACAAGUAGAGUGAUCGAAAGAUGAAAAGCACUUUGGAAAGAGAGUUAAAAAGCACGUGAAAUUGUUGAAAGGGAAGCGCUUGCAAUCAGACUUGUUUAAACUGUUCGGCCGGUCUUCUGACCGGUUUACUCAGUUUGGACAGGCCAGCAUCAGUUUCGGCGGCCGGAUAAAGGCUCUGGGAAUGUGGCCUUCACUUCGGUGAAGGUGUUAUAGCCCAGGGUGUAAUACGGCCAGCCGGGACUGAGGUCCGCGCUUCGGCUAGGAUGCUGGCGUAAUGGUGGUAAGCGACCCGUCUUGAAGCACGGACCACAA
rnacentral:rRNA from 1 species